UGGAGCCCAGGUCUUGCUCCAAGGUGCUAUUCUUUCCACCUCAUCUGACCACUGUGUCUGUAGGUGGGCCAAGUUAAGACAGGUGGAGACUUUCAUUAAAAAGCAAGAGAAAGUCAAGGACCACACACAGUAGGUCACUGACAUUUUAUGGCCAAAACACAUCAUGAAACUGUGUACAAGCCCCUGUGUCCUUGUCUUAAAAUGCUGACUCAAGAGUCAGUGAUUGGGAAAUGUGAAGAUGUAGAAGCAAGGCAUAGCUGUUGGGCCAAGAAACUGGUAACAAUCUAUAGACUAUAAUUCAGCCACAUGACAGAAUCACUAAACUCCCAAUUUCCUGAAAGAUACAGAUAAAGGCCUGACACACAUUCCUAAGCUGCUUUUACAGGAAGCAGACCCCUUUCCAGAUGAAAACUGCUGACCACAAGAACAGAGACCCUAGACUGCUUGAAACCAGAAGGUUGAUGAUGCUUGAAAUUUCACCUUGUUGCCAACCAAUCCAAAAAUGAGCUGAUCACGCCCUGCUCUUUGAACACAACUCCUCACUACCGCCUCCAGGAGCAAUCCUGUGCAGGGAAAUCAGCUUCUAAAUCUACUUUGACAAAAGAUGCCCUCUCUUAUUGAAAAUGGCCAAAGACAACCGAUGUUUGGACUAUGCCAGGUGGUCUCACAUCUCGUAAGAUAUGGGAAAAUUGAGAAUCAGAGAGGGUAGACACUGUCUCAAUCAAAGUUGCAAAUGUUGAUCAAUGGAAUCACUUGGGUAAAUAGUUAAACCCUGCUGGCCCCGGAAUCCCUGCUACUGUCAUUGUACAUGAAGGUUGAAAACCUGAGGUCCUCUCUCAGCCCUCCCCCCCUCCCUUAUGGUCUUUGGUUCUUGUACAAACCCUUAUGCCCCUCUCUUUUUU